CUAGGAAAUACAGAAACGAUGGCCCCUUGUACUGUUCAUCUUCUUCGCCGAUUCAAACCUUAACUCGCCUAAAACGCAGGCGAGUUCACUCAAAUGGGUCCCUUCUCUCCACGUCACUUUAUUCCAAUGGAUUUCUGUCAGAGAAAAAGAAUAUGCCUUCCGAAUUUGCACGAUAAUUGUACUAUUGAGUGUUUUGCUGGAUGAAUUGGAGUCGUGGAUGGAUGGAAAUCAAUCCAUGCUUUCCAUUUGUCCCUAAAAUCGCUCACAAACAAGGAGAUUUUUCGAAUUUUUGGGCAGAAGCUUCGAGAUUUUUAAGGGUUAUAUAUAAGGUGAGUUUUCUUGUUUAAGGGGUAAGAAAAUAUCAAAGGAAAAAUUUUUAGAAAAAUUAGUGGAGUAAAAACUUUCUAGAGUUCUUGAGUUCCUUUUGUGAGAUUUUUCAGUUUUUUUGUCGUUUUCUUCUGAUUUCUUUUGUUCAGAUUCGAGAUUUUUGUUUUCUUCUGAUUUCUUUUGUUCGAGUUGGUUAAUACAAAAAAAACAAAAAAAAUUGAUACAGAUUCUGAGAGAACAUAUUUUUGAAGAAAGUUUCGGAUAAGAAAAAGAGAAAUUUCGGUUUAUAAUUCUGGGGAUAUCAAAGUUGAUUGAGCUUUAGAGGUGCUGAUUUUGUUGGUUUUGCCGUCAGAAGCUGCUGCUUUCUUCUUGGUUUGCUUGACCUUUAUUUGGUCUUAUUCCUUCUCUUGUUUUGUUUUCAAGGGGACUUUUCUCUUCUUUGUUGUUUACUGCCCAAAUUCUCCCUGUUUCAUAGACGGGAUCUGGAAUAGUGAGUGGAGUUUGGAGUCUUUAUGCUAAAAGGUGAUAUCGGUGGAGGAGUAGUUAUGGAAUGAUACAUAUCUUUUCCAAAAGCCACUUCCUCUAGAUGCCACUUUAUGUGAAGAUAUAUAUAUAUUUGUGAGAAGAGCUAGCUGCUUACUUGCCUACUUUGAGAUUAUUUGGAGGAAAUGCAAAGAUUUUAUAUAGAGAGCUAAGGCUUUAUCUGUGGUGUCUCAUGAAAUUUCUGUGCAACUGAUUAGAGAUUCAUGCUUAUUUCUUGUAGGUUGUGUAUGUACGUGUAUUGUUUGUGUGUAUUUCUGAUGUUUGUUUAUUCACUGUCAAUCAUGUAAAAUUUAAUGACUAAUGUUUAGUCCUUAAUUAGCAGAAUGAAUGUGUGAAGGUUAGUCACAUAUGAAUGUAAAGACUGAUCUCUUUUUAUUUAUUAUUCUUUGUCGUUAUGUGUA